AGUUUCUAUUCUAUUAGGUCGGUGCAAAAGUAAUUGCAGGUUUUGCCAGUAAAAGUAAUGGCAAAUUAGCAAUUGCUGUUGCACCAACAUAAUAUCUGAUAUCC
ensembl:miRNA